CUUGCACAAUGGGCGAAAGCCUGAUGCAGCAAUGCCGCGUGUGCGAAGAAGGCCUUCGGGUCGUAAAGCACUGUCAGAGGGGACGAUUAUGACGGUACCCUCAGAGGAAGCCACGGCUAAUUACGUGCCAGCAGCCGCGGUAAUACGUAAGUGGCGAGCGUUAUCCGGAAUCACUGGGCGUAAAGCGUUCGUAGGCGGUGCGGCAAGUUGGAAUUGAAAAACCCGGGGCUCAACUCCGGAUCCGGUUCCAAAACUGCCGUGCUGGAGCAGAUCAGAGGGCAGUGGAAUUCCCGGUGUAGCGGUAAUAUGCGUAGAUAUCGGGAGGAACACCAGUGGCGAAGGCGGCUGCCUGGGGUCUUGCUGACGCUGAGGAACGAAAGCCAGGGGAGCGAACGGGAUUAGAUACCCCGGUAGUCCUGGCUGUAAACGAUGGGCACUAGGUGUCGGGGGCUUCGACCCCCUCGGCGCCGCCGCUAACGCAUUAAGUGCCCCGCCUGGGGAGUACGACCGCAAGGUUA
rnacentral:rRNA from 1 species